GACAUCCUUGUCAAACCAGGGCGCGUGCGCAUACGUGUAGCACCCGAUCUCGUGCUGCCGCCGGAGGGCAGCGUCCUCGGGACUCCCGUCGUUGGCCAGUGGCUCGCGGCAGCCCGAACAGUAGCAGCGCUUGCACGCUUGGCAGACGAGGCACACCAUGUUAAAGGCAAACAUGCGGUCCAGGUGGACCGUGGCGUUGCACCCGUCAUAGGGGCACGUCGAUAUCCAAUACUGCGGGUUGGUCGUCGUCGCGCGGCGUCGAUACUCGGCCUCGGCCAUGGCACGCAGACGUGUCAGGCCCUUUUGACGCGUGAGCCUCAGUGCCCUGUGUCGGUCCGAGUUGACGUCGUCAUCAUCAUUGUCAUUAACAUCGUCACCCCCGCGACGGUCUUGAUCAGCGUCAUCGAGAGCGGUGCCAGGCAACGCCGUGUUGUAGAGGUCGACCGAAUGAAAGUCGUCGUCCUCGCCGACAGUGGCAAUAUCGGGGUCGUCGGCUACGGCCUCGCACGCCAUGCCAAACGUGACCCCAAAGGCGCGCUGUAUCGCAGCGGGUCGGCAUCGUUCGACGAGGGCGCGCACAAAGCGCGGACCCAACACAAACGGGCAGCGCGCGAUGGUGCUCGAUGCAAUUACCGACGGAUCGACUGCUGCCACGCUGCCGCCACGGGGCAGCGGGCGCGUGCCCACAGGCGGCGGCGGCUGCGUGAGCCACACGCUGGUAAAGCCCGGACAGCGCACGGGCCAGCGGCCCUCCAAGACAUGGUCACUGUCGUCAUCGUCGAGGGGCAGAUCGAGUUCCAUGUGCGCAAUCAAGCACGACGCACAAUAGGCGUGGCGUGCCCCGUGAAGCGGGCACACAAAUCCAUCCACGGGCACGCCGUCCACAGCAGGGUCGACGGCAGUGUCGGCGUCUUGUCCGUCGAGCGCAUCAUCGUCAUUGUUGUCGCCAUCGCGUCCCGGCGGCGGUGGCGCGCGGCGUUGAGGCCCACACGCAAUCGGCGCGUUUUGGUUGGUGCAGGCAAAGCGUCUACCGCAGCGCUCGCCGACGCACGUAUAAACGCGCGCUGCGGACUCGGCAUCCAAGAGGCGGCGGAAAGAGAGCGCGGGCGGGAGCGCACCAUCGUCGGCGGUCGACAAGCGCACUCCAUUGUGGUCGACGUGACGGUUGCCAUCGUCCUGGCGGUCGAUGGCAUUGUGGCGCACACCCACGAGCCGCACCUCGCACACCUCGCGCGCGGCCGCAUCAGACGACUCGCGCACGAAUCGCUUGUGGAGGGCGCUCAAUGCAAGGCGCGAUGACGAUUGUGUCUGCGGACGCGGACCCGACGUGCGACCUGGCGGACGGCCUCGGCGUGGACGCGGCGGAGCCUCGAUCUGCUCCUCGACCUGACGGCGCUUGGCCAAUGGUUCGUCUUCCGCCGGGGGUCGCUCGCGUCCGGCCGUUUUCUCGGUGCGCUGACGGUCCAUGCGGUGAUGUUGGUGAUCGCCCCCAUAAAGGGGAUUGCUCUCCGCGUUUAAAGGGACAUUAACGGGUCUGCUGUCGUCGUCGUUGUCGUCGUCAUCAUCACCAUCACCAUCACCCGCGCCUCCAUAUUGGUCAUCGCCAUACGGAUCAUCCUCGUCGGGGUACAGCGGUCCGAUGCUUUCGAUUGUGCUCAUGAGCAUGCUGUUGAGUGCUUCGUCCGACAUGUCAUAGGGCAUAUAGAGUCCUGACCGUUGUGGUUCGCAUGCCUCGACGACGCCCAGGCAGAGAGAAGCGUCUCGCACGCUACCCCUUUCGUUGGCGGCAGUGCCAGCGGCGUUGCUCGUCUGAGACUCGGUCGGCGAGGGCGUGGAGACGUUGGUGUCGGGUACUGUGCCAUGUUCGAGUACGACGGUGCAGUCUCGGCCGUCCUGUUCCUCGGUGGUGUCCAUGGCAACAACGGCUGUGUCGCCUUCGGGUGUCUCGGCAGGCUGCUCUUGGUGCGUCGCCAAGAGGCCGAUCGCAGUAUUGCGAUUGUUGUCGUCGUCGUCUUUGUGGGUAUUGUCAGCCAUUGACAUUGAUGGAUAUGCGCCAAAUGGGUAGAAAGAGAAAAAAAAAGAGAGAAAACCAACGAUGGGGCGCUAUGUGUAUGCAGGAGGGAAAAAAAC
rnacentral:lncRNA from 1 species